UUUACUAAGGAAGCCGAGAGGGAAAUACUGGAGGCUGGAUACUCGGCGGGAUGGGGAUGUACUGAAGUUUUAUGUACUUCCACGAGUACACCAGCAUGCAAAUUAUAUGUAAAUAAUUCCUUUGUAUAAGCCACUGAGUUACUGUAAUUGCCAUCAGUGGUUUUUUUCCUCCUCCUUAUCCUACAGGAUUCCCUUCGUUUAUCAGCCGGCGGGACCCAUGCUGGAUGAGAAAGAGAAGGGACCAGAGAGGAGGGCAGUCACCCUCACUUCCCUUUUCCGACUCAUCUUUAAGGACGAUGCCAAGAGUAUGCCCCUGUAGCUUCAGGAAUGGCGCAGUCCAACCGCCUCAAUCUUUCACCGUUAGCAGCACUACUCUGGGCCAAGGUUCUGCUUCCGAGGUCACCCCCAGCUUGGGUAGCCUUUGGCCUCCAGCGUCCAGCUGCAUAGACCUCAAACAGAGGCUGGACAAGCCCGGUUAGGAGAGGAUGCUCUGCAGUGUCUGGAUCCUUCCCUGGUGCUCCCUGAUUUGCAGAAUUGGUACCACCUCCUCUGUUAACCUAGCCUAACCUGACAGUCCUGGCUAGGACCUGACACAUGGAUGACAAGAGACUGACACCUGGUGGAUGAAGACUUGUCCUCGAGAACGUGACACCAGACUGGUGGGUGGGAGAUAUAAUGGUCAAACACAACCCUUGGAGUGCUGGCAGCGGUUAAGUGGUCUGAACUAAGAAUGAUUUUACAUUAGGUGAAGCAAUGAGAAACAUACUGAGCAACAAGAUCAAGCCUCACCUGGAGCCAGUACCGCCUCUUGACUUUCCAAUUUCAUAAACCAAUAAAUAGCUUUUAUCUUGA